rnacentral:pre_miRNA from 1 species
CUAUUACUCCCUCCGUUCGGAAUUACUUGUCUCGAAAAUGGAUGUAUCUACAACUAAAAUACAUCUAGAUACAUCCAUUUCUGCGACAAGUAAUUCCGAAUGGAGGAAGUACAUA